rnacentral:rRNA from 1 species
CAAUAGCGUAUAUUAAAGUUGUUGCGGUAAAAAAGCUCGUAGUUGGAUUUCUGUUGAGAGCGACCGGUCCAUACCAUGUAUGCGUAUCUGGCUUGCUCUCGGCAUCCUCUCGAUAGACGUUACUGCGCUUGAUUGCGUGGUGCGGAUCUCGGGACUUUUACUUUGAGGAAAUUAGAGUGUUCACGGCAGGUUUUCGCCAGAAUACAUUAGCAUGGAAUAAUACUAUAGGAUCUUGGUUCUAUUUUGUUGGUUUCUAGAAUUGAGAUAAUGAUUAAUAGGGACAAUUGGGGGCAUUCGUAUCAACACGUCAGAGGUGGAAUUCUUGGAUUGUGUUGCGACGAACUACUGCGAAAGCAUUUGCCAAGGAUGUUUUCAUUGA